rnacentral:rRNA from 1 species
CUGCUCCAUGAAAAUUUAAAUAGCUGCAGUAUUUAUAACUGUACUAAGGUAGCAUAAUAAUUAGUUUUUUAAUUGAAAACUAGAAUGAAAGAUUAAAUGAAAAAUUAACUAUUUAAAAUUAAACUUAUAAAUUUAAAUUUUAAGUUAAAAUUCUUAAAUUAAUUAAAAAGACAAGAAGACCCUAUAGAAUUUUAUAUUUAAAUUUAAAUUUUAAUAUUAUAAUAAUUUAUAUUUAAAUAUUUAAUUGGGGAAAUUUUAAAAUUAAAAUAAUUUUUAAAAUUUAAAAACAUAAUAAUUGAAAUUUAAUUACUUUUUUAAUAAUUAAAAAUAAUUACCUUAGGGAUAACAGUAUAAUUUUAUUUUUUAGAACUUAUAAUAAAUAAAUUUUAUAACCUCGAUGUUGAAUUAAAUAAAAAUAAAAUGAAAAAAAAUUAAAAAUUAAUUAUGUUCGACU